CGACGGAACUGUUUUGAAGAUUUCUUCGGAAUGAAUUUGAUUUAGUUUAGUGGCGGACGGGUGAGUAACGCGUGAGUAACCUGCCUUCAAGAGGGGGAUAACAUUCUGAAAAGAAUGCUAAUACCGCAUGAUAUAUCGGAACCACAUGGUUCUGAUAUCAAAGAUUUUAUCGCUUGAAGAUGGACUCGCGUCCGAUUAGUUAGUUGGUGAGGUAACGGCUCACCAAGACUGCGAUCGGUAGCCGGACUGAGAGGUUGAACGGCCACAUUGGGACUGAGACACGGCCCAGACUCCUACGGGAGGCAGCAGUGGGGGAUAUUGCGCAAUGGGGGCAACCCUGACGCAGCAACGCCGCGUGAAGGAUGAAGGUUUUCGGAUUGUAAACUUCUUUUAUUAAGGACGAAAAUUGACGGUACUUAAUGAAUAAGCUCCGGCUAACUACGUGCCAGCAGCCGCGGUAAUACGUAGGGAGCAAGCGUUGUCCGGAUUUACUGGGUGUAAAGGGUGCGUAGGCGGCUUUGCAAGUCAGAUGUGAAAUCUAUGGGCUCAACCCAUAAACUGCAUUUGAAACUGUAGAGCUUGAGUGAAGUAGAGGCAGGCGGAAUUCCCCGUGUAGCGGUGAAAUGCGUAGAGAUGGGGAGGAACACCAGUGGCGAAGGCGGCCUGCUGGGCUUUAACUGACGC
rnacentral:rRNA from 1 species